UUUCCGUAGGUGAACCUGCGGAAGGAUCAUUAACGAGUUUUGAAAUGGGUUGUAGCUGGCCUUCACAGGCAUGUGCACACCCUGCUCAUCCACUCACUAUAACCCCUGUGCACUUAUUGUAGGCUUGGUGGGAUAAUUGGCUGCUUGCAGUCAGUUUGAAAGCCUUGCUUAUGUUUUAACAUACAAACGCUUCAGUUAAAGAAUGUCAUUAUUAUUGUGUAUUAACACAUGAAAUACAACUUUCAGCAACGGAUCUCUUGGCUCUCGCAUCGAUGAAGAACGCAGC
rnacentral:misc_RNA from 1 species